CCUACGGGAGGCAGCAGUAAGGAAUAUUGGUCAAUGGACGCAAGUCUGAACCAGCCAUGCCGCGUGAAGGAUUAAGGCCCUCUGGGUUGUAAACUUCUUUUAUAGGGGACGAAAAAAGGGCAUUCUUGCUCACUUGACGGUACCCUAGGAAUAAGCACCGGCUAACUCCGUGCCAGCAGCCGCGGUAAUACGGAGGGUGCAAGCGUUAUCCGGAUUUACUGGGUUUAAAGGGUGCGUAGGUGGGUUGGUAAGUCAGUGGUGAAAUCUUCGAGCUUAACUCGGAAACUGCCAUUGAUACUAUCAAUCUUGAAUCAUCUAGAGGUAAGCGGAAUAUGUCAUGUAGCGGUGAAAUGCUUAGAUAUGACAUAGAACACCAAUUGCGAAGGCAGCUUACUAUGGAUAUAUUGACACUGAGGCACGAAAGCGUGGGGAUCAAACAGGAUUAGAUACCCUGGUAGUCCACGCCCUAAACGAUGGAUACUCGACAUUUGUGAUAUACUAUAAGUGUCUGAGCGAAAGCAUUAAGUAUCCCACCUGGAAGUACGACCGCAAGGUUGAAACUCAAAGAGAGUAGACGNGNGAGAGAGACGACGACGACGACGAGGGAGGAGG
rnacentral:rRNA from 1 species